UUCGGGAUGAAUUGAGCGUUGCUGAUAACGCAGCGUUUUUGAGGAGGGCGUGAGCCCCAGCUAACUACGUGCCAGCAGAGGGGCCUGGGGCAAGCGUUGUCCGGAAUCACUGGGCGUAAAGCGCGCGCAGGCGGUGGAAUAAGUCAGAAGAGAAAGGGUUCGGCUCAACCGAGCCAUUGCGUUUGAUACUGUUUCACUUGAGUCUAGAAGAGGAAAGUGGAAUGUAUGGUGUAGCGGUGGAAUGCUUAGAUAUCAUAUAGAACACCCGUGGCGAAGGCGGCUUUCUGGUCUAAGACUGACGCUCAUGCGCGAAAGUUUGGGGAGCAACCGGGAUUAGAUACCCCGCUAGUCCUUACUGUAAACGAUGGGUACUAAGUGUAUGGGGUGUUUAUUCCCUCUGUGCUGUAGCUAACGCAUUAAUUACCCGACCUAAAAGAGUACAACCCGCCCGGUUAAAACUCAAGGUAAUUGACGGGGGGCCGCACAAGCGGUGGAGCAUGUCGGCUUAAUUCGACGCAACGCGAAGAACCUUAUCCAGGGGCUUGACAUCGCAGUGACCCGCUUAUAAAAA
rnacentral:rRNA from 1 species